UAAUAAGUGUUUUAUGGCACUUUUUAAAUCCAUAUCCACCUUGUGUGCAAUGUCAGUCGAUCUUCUUCUUUGAGGAUCGACCAAACAUCAACCUUUAUCUUUUAACUCUUUGUCUGAAAAAUAUUAUGAAUAAACAAUUCAAAAUA
rnacentral:misc_RNA from 1 species